UCGAGAAUCUUCUGCAAUGGGCGAAAGCCUGACAGAGCGACGCCGCGUGGAGGAUGAAGGCCCUCGGGUCGUAAACUCCUGUCACAUGUUAUGAAAGGUGCGGGUUCACUCGCACCCUGACAAAGGCAUGAGAGGAAGUCACGGCUAACUUCGUGCCAGCAGCCGCGGUAAGACGAAGGUGGCUAGCGUUAUUCGGAUUUACUGGGCAUAAAGCGCACGUAGGCGGCCUUGUAAGUCGGAGGUGAAAGCCCGCAGCUCAACUGCGGAAUUGCCCCCGAUACUGCUUGGCUUGAGUGCAGGAGGGGUGACUGGAACUCCAGGUGUAGCGGUGAAAUGCGUAGAUAUCUGGAGGAACACCAGAGGCGAAGGCGGGUCAC
rnacentral:rRNA from 1 species